rnacentral:rRNA from 1 species
UAUGUAGGUCAAGCUAAGACUUUACCAGAAUCGCUGAGAGGAGGUGCAUGGCCGUCGUCAGUUCGUACUGUGAAGCAUCCUGUUAAGUCAGGCAACGAGCGAGACCCGUGCCCACUGUUGCCAGCAUGUCCUUCGGGAUGAUGGGUACUCUGUGGGACGCCGAUGCUAAAUCGGAGGAAGGUGCGGGCUACGGUAGGUCAGUAUGCCCCGAAUCUCCCGGGCUACACGCGGGCUACAAUGGGUGGGACAAUGGGUAUCGACACCGAAAGGUGAAGGCAAUCUCCUAAACCCAUCCGUAGUUCGGAUUGUGGGCUGCAACUCGCCCACAUGAAGCUGGAAUCUGUAGUAAUCGUGUCUCAAAAUGGCACGGUGAAUGUGUCCCUGCUCCUU